GCUAGGCCCCGCCCCCGUGCGCGCCUCCGACGCCGCGCGCCCGCGCCUUCCCAGUGACCCUUCACCCAGGUCAGCGUACAGUUUGACGGCCUCCUGGAGUAGAUUGAAUUCGGACCCACCCUUGGGGGUCCGAUAAAAAGAGCUUCACAGGCCUCAUGUUGACAUUGACGUGACAAAAGCUUAUACCUUUUCAAGAUUUGCAACUCCACUCUGGAACAGCAUGGAAUCUGUUUGUAUUGUUCAGUGUCUGUCGCCCAGGGAAGAAGAAAAGACUAACAUUUAGAAAAGACACUUGAGCAGGUAUGGUGACCCAAACCUGUAACCCAAAUUGAGGUUAAGGCCCCAGGGUUCCAGCCCAGCAUGGGCAAUUUAGUGAUUAGUAAGGCUCCAUCUCAAAAUAAAAAAUAUAAAGGGCUGGGAAUGUAGCUCAGUGCAAAGGUCCUGGGUUCAAUUUCCAGUAAAG
ensembl:lncRNA